rnacentral:lncRNA from 1 species
CUCGUCGACCUUCUUAGACCCCAAAAUGUUUUUUCUUCAUUUUUUUUUAAUGAUGUGAACAAACUUUGGUCCAUACCUUGUGAUGAAGGUUGUGGUCAAGUUUCAUUGAAAUUGUGUUGUUUAAUUUCAGAGAAGUUGCGAAUGUCUGUGGACAGACUGACGGACGGACGGUGCGUUAUCCCAUAAACUCCCUGGAACUACAUUCCAGGCAUGGCGUUGCAUCGAUGAUUGCGCCCUCCGUCAGAUGGGACACGAAGUUGGGGAGCCGACUGCCAGCGUGUUGGUUGCUGGUGCACGUGAAGGAUUCCCAUGGUGUUUUCACAAAGAGGUGACUCAUCAAUGUGUGUGCCAUCUCUCGGGUAGACGUUAAACUGGGAAACCCGUCUACAUCUUCCGGCAUUCUUUGAUGGACUUUAAAGAUCCAACGGUGUCCUUCGCGAAGAGCAGAGAGCGACUUGGGAUUGAAUGGCAAAGGAAGCAAAGACUAUGGAGUUCGCCACGGUUCACUUGGCUACGCCUUGAUGGAUUUGAGGGUUGUGGAGUAGCGGCUGAAACUGAAACCCGAAUCCUAUCCAGGUUUCUCCUGAUGACUCCAUCUUUGCUCUUUACUUCUUCAGGUUCCUUCUUGGUCUUCCGUUUGAUUCACAUACACACUGUUGUUUAAAUGGUAGCCUGGUGUUGGCGCAGUGGUUAGGGCAGCGGCUUGGGAUCCAAAAGGUCCUGAGUUCAAGCCCCGUUGGGCCAGGGGGGGGGGGGGGGGGGGGGGGGGGGGGGGGGGGGGG